rnacentral:rRNA from 1 species
AUAUCAGUAAGCGGAGGAAAAGAAACUAACAAGGAUUCCCUUAGUAACGGCGAGUGAAGCGGGAAGAGCUCAAAUUUAAAAUCUGGUGCUUCACGGCAUCCGAAUUGUAAUUGAGAGGGUCUUCAUUUGUGAAGAGUCAUGGUCAAAGUUCUCUGGAAAGGGACAACAAAGAGGGUGAUAUUCCCGUCUGGAUCAUGUGCACUCGGAGCAGUAUAAUGGGGGCUCAAAGAGUCGGACUGUUUGGGAAUGCAGUCUAAAAUGGGUGGUACAUUUCACCUAAAGCUAAAUAUAGGCAAGAGACCGAUAGCGCACAAGUA